AAAUAAUGGAAGGUAAAUAAACAUUCGAUAGAUUGUGUUCGAUCUGGAUUGAUCGAAAGCAUCAGCGUGGCGCUGAUUGGCCGUUGACCGUCCGGCUGUCGCUCGAUUGAUUACCGCUAGAACCAGUUUGUUGUUAUGAGCGAUAUGCGCAAUUUUUCGACAUCUCCGUAGCAAGAAAUACCAAGGUACAAAUAAAGCGACUUUAUCCAGGAAUUAAGGUUUCCCGAAAUUCGUAUUUUAUGAAAAAUGUUUUAGCGUGAAGCAGCAUAUUCACUGCAGCAUGAUGUUCUAUGUUUUGGAGGAUGGCUUGCUCGAGGUGUCCGGCGGUGAUGAUUUUCCUUAUAAGAAUUCACUAAAGAAAUCCACAAAUUAACUACAACUCGAAUAAUGUCCGGUAAAAUUACUUCACU